CCUACGGGUGGCAGCAGUGGGGAAUAUUGGACAAUGGGCGAAAGCCUGAUCCAGCCAUGCCGCGUGUGUGAAGAAGACCUUCGGGUUGUAAAGCACUUUCAGUGGGGAAGAAAGCCUUGGGGCUAAUACCCUCGAGGAAGGACAUCACCCACAGAAGAAGCACCGGCUAACUCCGUGCCAGCAGCCGCGGUAAUACGGAGGGUGCGAGCGUUAAUCGGAAUUACUGGGCGUAAAGCGCGCGUAGGCGGUCUGAUAAGCCGGUUGUGAAAGCCCCGGGCUCAACCUGGGAACGGCAUCCGGAACUGUCAGGCUAGAGUGCAGGAGAGGAAGGUAGAAUUCCCGGUGUAGCGGUGAAAUGCGUAGAGAUCGGGAGGAAUACCAGUGGCGAAGGCGGCCUUCUGGACUGACACUGACGCUGAGGUGCGAAAGCGUGGGUAGCAAACAGGAUUAGAUACCCUUGUAGUC
rnacentral:rRNA from 1 species